UGGAAACAGGUGCUAAUACCGCAUAACAACUUGGACCGCAUGGUCCGAGCUUGAAAGAUGGCUUCGGCUAUCACUUUUGGAUGGUCCCGCGGCGUAUUAGCUAGAUGGUGGGGUAACGGCUCACCAUGGCAAUGAUACGUAGCCGACCUGAGAGGGUAAUCGGCCACAUUGGGACUGAGACACGGCCCAAACUCCUACGGGAGGCAGCAGUAGGGAAUCUUCCACAAUGGACGAAAGUCUGAUGGAGCAACGCCGCGUGAGUGAAGAAGGGUUUCGGCUCGUAAAACUCUGUUGUUAAAGAAGAACAUAUCUGAGAGUAACUGUUCAGGUAUUGACGGUAUUUAACCAGAAAGCCACGGCUAACUACGUGCCAGCAGCCGCGGUAAUACGUAGGUGGCAAGCGUUGUCCGGAUUUAUUGGGCGUAAAGCGAGCGCAGGCGGUUUUUUAAGUCUGAUGUGAAAGCCUUCGGCUCAACCGAAGAAGUGCAUCGGAAACUGG
rnacentral:rRNA from 2 species